GGCGCAAAAGGAGAACGGUUGGUUCGCAUAAUUUAAGAGUCCUAGGAUAGUUGGACUCCUACCUGAAAUCUAACUCUAUCCUAUUUAAACAUGGGAUAAGAGAGGGACAGCAACCAACCUGAUUGAGAUCAAAUUUUGGAUGCCAAAAUUCAUGGAGGUGUGCAUGAAAAAUCCAAGGGGAGAAGGUGUGGCAUGAAGG
rnacentral:lncRNA from 1 species